rnacentral:rRNA from 1 species
UACGUAGGAUGCAAGCGUUGUCCGGAAUUAUUGGGCGUAAAGGGCGUGUAGGCGGUAAACCAAGUCAGAUGUGAAAUAUCCCGGCUUAACUGGGAGGGGCCAUUUGAAACUGGUUAACUAGAGUGCAGGAGAGGUCAGUAGAAUUCCCGGUGUAGUGGUGAAAUGCGUAGAUAUCGGGAGGAACACCUGUGGCGAAAGCGGCUCACUGGACCACAACUGACGCUGAGGCGCGAAAGCUAGGGGAGCAAACAGG